CCGAAAGGAGGGCUAAUACCGCAUAAGACUACGGUGACCUCGGUUGCUGAAGUCAAAGCUGGCCUCUUCAUGAAAGCUAGCACUUGAGGAUGAGUCCGCCGGCCCAUCAGCUAGUUGGGUAGGGUAAUGGCCCUAACCAAGGCUACGAUCGGUAGCUGGUCUGAGAGGAUGAUCAGCCACAAUGGAACUGAGACACGGUCCAU
rnacentral:rRNA from 1 species